GCGGAGUGUGGAGCCCUAUGCUCGCCACCCCCCCUCUCGCCCGGCUCCUCCCUCCGGCUACCGCACCGGCGGCCACGCACGACAUUUAGGACCAUGGCCACAAGCAACCAAACGACGACCACAGUCAUGAUUCCUUUGGCUUCUGCGGUCCCGGCUGUGUCGGGCACACAUGGGCUCGGAGAUGGAGAUAGGCGCUGAAGCGGCAGGGAUGGGGAGAGGAAAAGAUGAGGCCAGGCGGACCCAGGAUGCCCGCGCGGCGGUGCCCGCCAACCCAGGUGCGGAGGAGGUGGCGCGCACACGCCGGGUCUGGCGUGCACCCGCAGGGAUGCCAGUCUGGAAGCAUUCGGAGCUGGGACACCGGGAAGGAGAAGGAAUGGUCGUCCCGUUCCCUGCAGGAUGAGACUUGGUAACCGACCUGCAAGCUGGUCUGGCAGCUCACGGGACUCCGAAGGCUCUCCUGGUGCCCCGACGCCUCUCAACCUCCCUAGGGGGCGGAAGCAGAUUCCCCCCAACCUGAAAGAAACAGCACCACGUGUCCCCUUCUCCCCUGACGACGACGGCGCUGAGGUCGUGGCCCAGGUCAUCGGUUUUCCAGCAAAUACGCCUCACAACAGAGGCGGCGGCGGUAGCUGACAAUUCCUAGUCGCGAGAGCCGCCGCUGCGGCGUGUAGGUGUCGGAUGCAGAAGACCACCAGACUCCCCGACGUCAGCUGUGACCCACCUCGGCGCGCAUUCCCACCAGCUCUUCAGCUGAAGCAACAAGCACACACGUGGUUGCAAUUUUGUAAUAUUCUCUGGCUUAUUGCGCUGUAAAUGCUAAUAGAAAGUAAAUUAACUGUGAUGUUUUGAUAUCUCAUUGUAUUUACAAAAUUUUAAAAUCGUAAGACACUGAAUGAAGAUAUAUUGAAACACAAGGUUUGUUUUCUUAAAGCCAGAAAUAAAAUAUA